AACGCUAGCGGCAGGCUAAUACAUGCAAGUCGAACGGUAAGGUCCCUUCGGGGAUACACGAGUGGCGCACGGGUGCGAAACACGUAUGCAACCUACCCUCCGGAGGGGGAUAGUCGCGGGAAACUGCGAAUAAUACCCCAUGUGUUCAUUGGUUGGCAUCAACUGAUGAAGAAAGUUCCGGCGCCGGGGGAUGGGCAUGCGUCCCAUUAGCUAGUUGGUGAGGUAACGGCUCACCAAGGCGACGAUGGGUAGCUGGUCUGAGAGGAUGAUCAGCCACACGGGCACUGAGACACGGGCCCGACUCCUACGGGAGGCAGCAGUAAGGAAUCUUGGUCAAUGGGGGCAACCCUGAACCAGCCAUGCCGCGUGGAGGAAGACGGCCCUCCGGGUUGUAAACUCCUUUAGUCAGGGACUAAUUGUGGGCUAUAGGCACACUUGCAGGUACCUGAAGAAUAAGCGCCGGCUAACUACGUGCCAGCAGCCGCGGUAAUACGUAGGGCGCAAGCGUUGUCCGGAUUUAUUGGGUUUAAAGGGUGCGUAGGCGGAUUGUUAAGUUCGUGGUGAAAUCGUUCCGCUUAACGGAAUAACCGCCAUGGAUACUGGCAGUCUUGAGUGCGGUAGAGGAAGUUAGAAUGCGUGGUGUAGCGGUGAAAUGCAUAGAUAUCACGCAGAAUACCGAUUGCGAAGGCAGAUUUCUAUACCGUAACUGACGCUGAGGCACGAAAGCGUGGGGAGCGAACAGGAUUAGAUACCCUGGUAGUCCACGCUGUAAACCGUUGAUCACUAGGUGUUCGGCCGUAUGGCUGAGUGCCCAAAGCGAAAGCGAUAAGUGAUCCACCU
rnacentral:rRNA from 1 species